CAGGAUUCUACUAGCGCGAGACCGAGCGGACGACACCGAGCCUGCGCAGGGGACCCCAGAGCCGGUGGGAGGUGGCCUGGGGGCGCGCCCGCGGAUCAGCCGGCACAGCCGGGUCGGCGGCGGGAAAGUGAACGGCAGCCUGCCAGAGCACGCCGGAAGUGAUCGGCCACCGCUGACGCGGUGUCCGGGGUGGUGGCCCCGCGCCCAAGGGAGGAAUGCGGGCUGAGCACUGGUGGCCAUGGAGGGGGCCCCGGUCAAGCGAGAGGCUAGGGGUGGCCUGGAGAUUUCCCUCCUGGGUUCCUGACCUGCUGAUCCAUUGGCUUCUCAGAAGUUUCCUCCUGGAUGCCUCACAGAUUCUGAGACCAGGAGUAAGAUAAAAGAUUGGAAGUCAAAGAUGGAAAUUUCAGGAGAAAAAAAAUUCAGCAAGGACUGUAUCAGAAAGACUCCAAAGACAAUCUCCCAGGAAUGUAGGUUAUUUGAAAUCAACGAUCCUGAGGACAGGUUAUUGAGGUAUUGGGUGAGCUCCUUACAUGAUGCAGUGAGACAUCCCUCUUCCCAAGAGAGAGGUAUCAGGGAAGUGAAUGUGAUCCCCAAAAAAACCAUUGCAGGAGAGAGAGGCCAUGGAUGUAAGGAAAGAGAAAAAUUCCUUUCUACAGGAGAAAGAUCCCACAGAUAUGAAGUCUGUGGUCAGAGCUUCAAACAGAAGUCAGAAAUAACUGAACAUCAGAAAACUGAUAAUGUAAAGAAAACCUAUGAAUAUAAGGAAUGUGGGAAAACUUUCAAUCGGAGCUCAAACCUGAUUAUACACCAGAGAAUUCAUACAGGAAAGAAACCAUAUGUAUGUAGUGAAUGUGGAAAAGACUUUAAUCAAAGUUC